rnacentral:sRNA from 10 species
AAAGGUGAAACGCCACUGUGUCAAAUAAUUCUCACCAGGAUGGGGGCUCUGUUUACCUGCAACCCUCGGCCACAAUGAAUGUUGUUCUACGAGCUACAUUGUGGUACCGCUGCU